UACGAAGGGUGCAAGCGUUACUCGGAAUUACUGGGCGUAAAGCGUGCGUAGGCGGUUGAUUAAGUCUGCUGUGAAAGCCCUGGGCUCAACCUGGGAACUGCAGUGGAUACUGGUCAGCUAGAGUGUGUCAGAGGAUGGUGGAAUUCCCGGUGUAGCGGUGAAAUGCGUAGAGAUCGGGAGGAACAUCAGUGGCGAAGGCGGCCAUCUGGGACAACACUGACGCUGAGGCACGAAAGCGUGGGGAGCAAACAGG
rnacentral:rRNA from 1 species